GACGAACGCUGGCGGCGUGCCUAACACAUGCAAGUCGAACGAAAAGGCCCUGCUUUUGGGCGGUGCUCGAGUGGCGAACGGGGGAGUAACACGUGAGUAACCUGUCCUUGACUGUGGGAUAACUUCAGGAAACUGGGGCUAAUACCGCAUAGGAGCUCCUGCUGCAUGGUGGGCGCUGGAAAGUUUCGGCGGUUGGGGAUGGACUAGCGGCUUAUCAGCUUGUUGGUGGGGUAGUGGCUUACCAAGGCUUUGACGGGUAGCCGGCCUGAGAGGGGGACCGGAGACAUUGGGACUGAGAUACGGCCCAGACUAGUACGGGAGGCAGGAGAGGGGAGUAUUGCACAGUGGGCGGAAGCCUGAUGCGGCACCGCCGCGUGCGGGAUGACGGGCUGCGGGUUGUGAACCGAUUUCGCCUGUGACGAGGCGUGAGUGACGGUACUGGGUAAAGAAGCACCGGCUAACUACGUG
rnacentral:rRNA from 1 species